UUUAAUUACAGCAAACAAAAUAACACAGCAUCGAUAUUUGGAUAACACUUCAGAAGACAAAAUUAAAUUGAAAAAAAAGUAAUACACGCAAGUUGCCGCUAAUUCAGACGUUCCCCGAUGUUAAUGCAAAAAUAGAUGUGUGACUGUGAUCUAGACGGCGAACGAUAGCGGACUUUAGACCGAGCAGUGCCGGCAAUGCAGGAAACGUAAAUAAAAUUAAGUUUUCCUAGACAUCUCUCGUGAAACCAAAUUAACCCCGUACUGCUGCCCGCAACAGGUUCACUGAGCCCGACUCUCUCGCACUCACUGCCGUUACCGCUGCCUGCGCCGCCGCCACGACAACGAUAUUUUUUUCGGCUUGUUUAUAAAUCUUGCUCAUCAGACCCACAAAUUCGUCUACUAUGGCAGUUGUUGAAAAGGUUCAGAAUACGCCCACAGAGCGCAAGGCCAAUCCGCUGAAAUCUUUUAUCACUGGAGGUUUUGGCGGCAUUUGCAAUGUACUCUCCGGGCAUCCUCUUGACACCAUUAAGGUGCGUUUACAAACAAUGCCACGGCCAGCACCUGGGGAGCAGCCCCUGUAUCGCGGCACCUUCGACUGCGCUGCCAAGACCAUACGUAAUGAAGGCGUUCGGGGUCUGUACAAGGGUAUGUCCGCGCCGCUGACGGGGGUGGCGCCCAUAUUCGCCAUGUGCUUUGCCGGCUAUGCACUGGGAAAGAGGCUGCAACAGCGCGGUGAGGAAGCUAAGCUCACGUAUCCUCAAAUCUUUGUUGCCGGCUCGUUCUCCGGCCUAUUCUCCACGUUCAUCAUGGCGCCCGGCGAACGCAUCAAGGUGCUCUUGCAAACACAGGGCAUUGGUCCUGGAGGAGAAAAAAAAUACAAUGGAAUGAUCGAUUGCGCUGUCAAGCUAUAUAAGGAGGGUGGUCUGCGUAGUGUUUUUAAAGGCAGCUGUGCAACGAUGCUCAGAGAUAUGCCUGCCAACGGUCUGUACUUUCUGAGCUAUGAGAUCUUGACAGAUGAGUACAAACGUCGCUUUAACAGGCCCAUUGUGGAUCUAGUGCCGGCUAUAGUUGCAGGAGGACUGGCGGGAAUAUUUUAUUGGAUCGGCGGCAUGCCCGCCGAUGUGCUCAAAAAUCGACUGCAAUCCGCUCCUGAAGGCAAAUUUAAUGGUAUUAGAGAUGUUUUUAAAGAUCUAGCAAAAAAUGAUGGACUUUCGGCUCUCUAUCGUGGCUUUACACCUGUAAUCAUUCGCGCCUUUCCGGCUAAUGCAGCGACCUUCUUCGGAAUUGAGCUAGCCAAUGCUUUCCUUCGUCAAGUUGCUCCUGAUUUUUAAAAUAUCCAAAAUUGAAAAUAUUUAUUGAAGUGAAACAAAUAUCAUUUUAUUUUGUAAAAAAAAAUAUUUCCGUUUGUUGUCUAUUUUGCAGUAAUAGCAGCUGAACAAGCAAGGCUCUGCAAGGCUAAACAACAAAUGCAACGAGUGUCAGAACUUACCCCAGGUGAUGGUGCUGCAGCUGCCACAAUCUUAUCACUAUGGGUAAGAAAACAGAACUAUUUUAACAUUUUUCAAAAAAUAUUUUGCGUUCCUAUUCGGCGGUUGCGGGAAUCGUUGUUUAUGUUCAUCGUUGUCCGUAUCCAUUGGCCAAAGAACAUCGAAGUUUUAACUUACUAGAUAUCAAGAGUUUUGUGGUUUUCACCCAUAAUGUAAUGGUCGCCAAAGUCCAUUCGGCAGAAUGGGAAUUGAAUUAAAAUUCAGCUAAAAAACGAAAAGAAAUUAUCGAGUUGUAGACCCAAAGGACAUAGGUGUAGCUAGUUUCGAAUUUUAAGUCCUUAAACAUAGCUCAUAGCCAUAUCAUUUUAUGGUCCAGGAAUUUAACGAAUUUUUGAAUAUAUUUUGUUUGGCGCAACAUUAAAGCAAUUUACAAAGUUUAUCUUAAAACUAAAAUACAAAAUGUGUGUGUGUUUGUUGUGAUCCGUAUAACAAUUUAUAAAAAAAAAAUAAUCUUAUAGUAUUUAUAGUAGGAAUUUAAUAAAGAUAAUCAUUUUCUUGAUCGAAAGUAAAUUAAAUUGUGACAAUCUUGGGGCUCACCAGGAACCUAUACAAAAUGCUUAAACUCUGCCGCA